GUGGGGAAUCUUCCGCAAUGGGCGAAAGCCUGACGGAGCAACGCCGCGUGAGUGAAGAAGGCCUUCGGGCCGUAAAGCUCUGUUGCCGGGGAAGAGUGCUAUGGGGGAACCUAUAGAGGGACGGUACCCGGCGAGGAAGCCGCGGCUAACUACGUGCCAGCAGCCGCGGUAAUACGUAGGCGGCAAGCGUUGUCCGGAAUCAUUGGGCGUAAAGGGGGCGCAGGCGGGAACAUAAGUCUUUCCUGAAAGUUCGGGGCUCAGCCCCGUGAUGGGAAGGAAACUGUGUUUCUUGAGCGCGGGAGAGGGAAGCGGAAUUCCUGGUGUAGCGGUGAAAUGCGUAGAUAUCAGGAAGAACACCAGUGGCGAAGGCGGCUUCCUGGACCGCGGCUGACGCUGAGGCCCGAAAGCCAGGGGAGCGAACGGG
rnacentral:rRNA from 1 species